UAGGGAAUCUUCCACAAUGGACGAAAGUCUGAUGGAGCAACGCCGCGUGAGUGAAGAAGGGUUUCGGCUCGUAAAACUCUGUUGUUAAAGAAGAACAUAUCUGAGAGUAACUGUUCAGGUAUUGACGGUAUUCAACCAGAAAGCCACGGCUAACUACGUGCCCG
rnacentral:rRNA from 1 species